AUGCCAUGGUGUGGACACUUUCAUAACAACAGCUUAAAUCGUUCCAAUGCCUCAUACAAAUUUUCACCCUCAAUCUGUCGAAAGUUUGCAAUAUCGUGCCUCAGAUA
rnacentral:snoRNA from 1 species